AUACUUCAACUCAAACGGCAUCACCUCUGCUCAAACAAACAAAUACUCAUCCUCCAUUCUCAAUUCCCUCACCAGCAUCAUCUCUACUCAAACAAACAUUCAUUCUCUAUACAUGCUAAAUAGAACAUCAAUACGAGCAAACUGAGCUUGAGAAUGAGAAGAUGCCACAACUGAGAAAGAGAAGCCUAGUUUGUCACUACACAAUCGCUGGCGAGAGCUAAUCCUUUACUCCAAAAUUGUCAGAAUGUAACUACUUGAGGUAAGUAAUUCCUUGUAAUUAGUUUUCUUGUUGAUAUUUAGGGAAAAAAACAAAAAUUUAGAGUUUUAUAUUGAAAAAAUAGAUUAAUUAGUUGUGGGUCUCUUAUAACAUGUUCAAAAACAAAUUCUAGUUGUUUUGCUACAUGCAAAUUGUGAAAAUUUGAUGGAUUAUGCCGAUUAUAAUUUCAUCAUAUAACACACGACUUGGUCGUGUAAGGUUAUAUAAGAUUCAAGUUUGUGUAUUACACGACCUUUAUGUAUUGCACGAUUACAUGACCUUCAUGUAUUGCACGAUUACACGACUGUCAUGUAUUGCACAUUACACUACUUUUAUGUAUUACACGAUCUUUAUGUAUUACUUCUAAAUAGUUGAGUAUUGUUUUUUGAAUUGAUUAAGAAUUUUUUCUUGAGGUUUGAUUUAUUUUUAUUAUUUCUAAAUAGCUGAGUAUUGUUUUUUGAAAUUUUGAUGAGAUUUUGGAAACUUGCCAUUUUUUAGGGUGAAAGAAAUUUUGUUUCCAGAUUGAGGGGUAAAAAGUUCAUCAUCUCUCAAGUGUGUCUUCUGUGAUAUAUAUAUGUGUGUGUGUGUGUGUGUGUGUGUGUGUGUGUGUGUGUGUGUGUGUGUGUGUGUGUGUGUGUGUGUGUGUGUGUGUGUGUGUGUGUGUGUGUGUGUGUGAUUUAAUUUUUUGUUUCUUGUCAAUAGAAUAUACACAUUACAUUUAGUUUAAUUAGGCUCACAAUUGGGGACAAUAAAUUGGAAUGAUGUAGAUGCCUUUAUCUUGUGGAACGUCAUUACUUAUAGAGAUCCUAAAUUUUCAAUUAUAAGCCAUGGUAAGUCAUGGUAUGUCUAGUUAUGAGUUCUUAGUGGAAACACUUUGAUCACUGCAAAUGGUGUUCUUCUGUGUAUUUAAUUGUAGUUAAUUUCCUAUAAUUGAUAUGCUUUUUUCUUAAUUGAUUUUAUGGGAUUAUUAUAUGCAGACAGUCUUCAUGUAUGCAUGUGCUUGGGAAGAAGAAGAAAGCACUUUCAAGAUUAAAAAAAG
rnacentral:lncRNA from 1 species